AUAGAGACGGGAGAGAGGCGGGGGCGCCCCCUGGCGGAGCGGGGGUGCGGCGGGGCCUGAUGGAGACACAGCGGGACCCCAGCGUCACCAAAGGGACCCCGAUGUCACCAAUGUCCCCAAAGGGACCCCCGAUGUCACCACAGGGAUCCCAUCGGGACCUCAAUGUCUCCGAUGUGCCCUGGAUGUCCUCACAGAUCCCACAGGAAUCCCCAUGGGGACCCCAGUGUCCCCAAAGGGACCUCCCAGUGUCCCCAAAGAGACCCCCAUGGGGACCCCAAUAUUCCCAAUGUCCCCAAAGGGACCCCAAUGUCCCCAACGUCCCUAAAGGGACCUCAAUGUCACCAAAGGAACCCCCAUGGGGCCGCCAAUGUCCCCAACAUCCCCAAAGUGUCCCCAAAGGGACAUCAAUGUUCUCCAAUGGACCCUCCAAUAUCCCCAAUGUCCCCAGUGUCCCCAAAGGGACCCCAAUGUCCCCAAAGAGAACCCCAUGGGGACCCCAACGUCCCCAAAGAGACCCCCAUGGGGACCCCAAUGUCCCCAAAGAGAACCCCAUGGGGACCCCAAUGUCCCCAAAGGGGACCCCAAUGUCCCCACAGGGAUCCACAUGGGGACCCCAAUUUCCCCAUGGUCCCCACGGAUCUCAACGUCCCCAAAGGGACCCCCCCAAUGUCCCCACAAUGACCCCACAGGGACCCCAAUGUCCCCAUAGACCCCCCCACGGGACCCCCAAGGAGCUGGACCCCCCACAUACCCUCACAGGGACCCCGUGGUGGUCAGUGUCCAGCCAUGGUGACCCACGGUGACCCCUGUCCAUCCAUAGUGACCCAUGGUGGCUCCUCUUGGUCCGUGAUGAUCCACGUCCAUCCGUGGUGAGCCGCGUUGAUUUGUUGAAUCCUGUUGACCCAUGGUGACCAACGUUGACCCAUGGUGACCAACGUUGACCCAUGGUGACCAACGUUGACUCUUCGUGGUCCAUGUCUAUCCAGGUUGGCCCACAUUGACUCCUCUUGGCCCAUGAUGGCCUGGGUCCAUCCAUGGUGACCCACGUUGAUUCCUGUUGAUCCAUGGUGACCCACGAUGGAGGUCCAUCUCCAUCCAUGUCCAUCCAUGGUGACCCACGGUGA
rnacentral:lncRNA from 1 species